GCAUAUCAAUAAGCGGAGGAAAAGAAACUAACAAGGAUUCCCCUAGUAACGGCGAGUGAAGAGGGAAGAGCCCAAGAUUGAAAGCUGGCGUCUUUGGCGUCUGCAUUGUAAUCUCAAGAAGUGUUUUCCGCUUCGGACCAUGCCUAAGUCCCUUGGAAAAGGGCAUCAUAGAGGGUGAUAAUCCCGUACAUGGCAUGGAGCGCCCGAAGCUUUGUGAUACACUUUCUAAGAGUCGAGUUGUUUGGGAAUGCAGCUCAAAAUGGGUGGUAAAUGCCAUCUAAGGCUAAAUAUUGGGGAGAGACCGAUAGCGAACAAGUACAGUGAUGGAAAGAUGAAAAGAACUUUGAAAAGAGAGUUAAACAGUACGUGAAAUUGCCAAAAGGGAAGGGUAGGAGGUCAGAGAUGCGGUCUGGGAUUCAGCCUUGCUUUUGCUGGGUGUUUUUCUCAGAUUGCAGGCCAACGUCGGUUUUGGGCGCUGGAGAAGGGUGGAAGGAAUGUGGCACCUCUCGGGGUGUGUUAUAGCCUUCUACUGGAUACAGUGACCGAGACCGAGGACAGCAGCGUACUCGCAAGAGCGGGCCUUCGGGCACCUUUACGCUUAGGGCGUUGGCAUAAUGGCCCUCUACCACCCGUCUUGAAACACGGACCAAGGAGUCUAACAUGUAUGCGAGUCUUUGGGUGGCAAACCCAUAGGCGCAAUGAAAGUGAAUUCAGGUGGGAUCCGCAAGGUGCACCAUCGACCGAUCCUCACGUCUUUUUAAGUCGUGGAUUUGAGUAAGAGCAUACCUGUUGGGACCCGAAAGAUGGUGAACUAUGCCUGAAUAGGGUGAAGCCAGAGGAAACUCUGGUGGAGGCUCGUAGCGGUUCUGACGUGCAAAUCGAUCGUCAAAUUUGGGUAUAGGGGCGAAAGACUAAUCGAACCAUCUAGUAGCUGGUUCCUGCCGAA
rnacentral:rRNA from 1 species